AGGAGCGGGCGCAUGAUCGCGCAGGCAGAAACGGCCUGUGAGGAAAGUCCGGACUCCACAGGGCAGGAUGGUUCGUAACACGAACCGGGGGCAACCCCGGGAAAGUGCCACAGAAAACAUACCGCCUCGGCUUUCCCGCCGGGGUAAGGGUGAAAAGGCGAGGUAAGAGCUCACCGCCUUCCUGGCGACAUGAAGGGCAGGGUAAACCCCAUCCGGAGCAAGACCAAAUAGGAAAGCAUUCGAGGACUGCCCGUCCGACGCUUUCGGGUAGGUUGCAAGAGGUGCCGGGUGAUCGGCAUCCCAGAGAAAUGAUCAUGGCCUCCUUCAGGGGGUACAGAAUCCGGCUUAUAGCCCGCUCCUUUUU
rnacentral:RNase_P_RNA from 2 species